rnacentral:rRNA from 1 species
UUAGGAAUUUUGGGCAAUGGGCGGAAGCCUGACCCAGCAACGCCGCGUGGGUGAUGAAGGCCCUCGGGUCGUAAAGCCCUUUUCCCAGGGAAGAUGGUGACGGUACCUGGGGAAUCAGCCCCGGCUAACUACGUGCCAGCAGCCGCGGUAAUACGUAGGGGGCAAGCGUUGUCCGGAUUUAUUGGGCGUAAAGCGCUCGCAGGUGGUCCGUCGCGUCGUGCGUGAAAUACCCCGGCUCAACUGGGGGGGGUCGUGCGAUACGGGCGGACUGGAGGCCAGUAGGGGGAUGCGGAAUUCCGGGUGUAGUGGUGGAAUGCGUAGAGAUCCGGAGGAACACCAGCGGCGAAGGCGGCAUCCUGGACUGGUCCUGACACUCAGGAGCGAAAGCGUGGGGAGCGAU